GACAGAGGGUGCAAACGUUGUUCGGAAUUACUGGGCGUAAAGCGAGUGUAGGCGGGACGGCACGUCGGUCGCUGAAAGCCCCCGGCUCAACCGGGGAACGGGCGCCGAUACGACCGCCCUGGAGGAACGUAGGGGGACCUGGAACUUCCGGUGGAGCGGUGAAAUGCGUUGAGAUCGGAAGGAACGCCCGUGGCGAAAGCGAGGUCCUGGACGUCUGCUGACGCUGAGACGCGAAAGCCAGGGAGGCGAACGGG
rnacentral:rRNA from 1 species